AUUGAACGCUGGCGGCAUGCCUUACACAUGCAAGUCGAACGGCAGCACGGGGGCAACCCUGGUGGCGAGUGGCGAACGGGUGAGUAAUGCAUCGGAACGUGUCCUCUUGUGGGGGAUAACCAGUCGAAAGAUUGGCUAAUACCGCAUGAGAUCGAAAGAUGAAAGCGGGGGACCGCAAGGCCUCGCGCGAGAGGAGCGGCCGAUGCCGGAUUAGCUAGUUGGUGGGGUAAUGGCCCACCAAGGCGACGAUCCGUAGCUGGUCUGAGAGGACGACCAGCCACACUGGGACUGAGACACGGCCCCAGACUCCUACGGGAGGCAGCAGUGGGGAAUUUUGGACAAUGGGCGCAAGCCUGAUCCAGCCAUGCCGCGUGUGUGAAGAAGGCCUCGGGUUGUAAAGCACUUUCGGACGGAACGAAAUCGCGCGCAUGAACAAUGCGCGUGGAUGACGGUACCGUAAGAAGAAGCACCGGCUAACUACGUGCCAGCAGCCGCGGUAAUACGUAGGGUGCAAGCGUUAAUCGGAAUUACUGGGCGUAAAGGGUGCGCAGGCGGCCUCGCAUGUCAGGCGUGAAAUCCCCGGGGCUCAACCUGGGAAUGGCGCUUGAAACUACGGGGCUGGAGUGUGGCAGAGGGAGGUGGAAUUCCACGUGUAGCGGUGGAAUGCGUAGAGAUGUGGAGGAACACCGAUGGCGAAGGCAGCCUCCUGGGCCAAUACUGACGCUCAUGCACGAAAGCGUGGGGG
rnacentral:rRNA from 1 species